rnacentral:rRNA from 1 species
AAUCAACGCUGGCGGCGUGCCUCAGACAUGCAAGUCGAACGCGAAAGUUCCCUUCGGGGGGCAAGUAGAGUGGCGCACGGGUGAGUAACACGUAGGUAAUCUACCUUUGGAUGGGGAAUAACCACCGGAAACGGUGGCUAAUACCGCAUAAUGCAGCGGCACCUAAUGGUGACAGUUGUUAAAGCGGGGGAUCGCAAGACCUCGCGUCUAAAGAGGAGCCUGCGGCGGAUUAGCUAGUUGGUAAGGUAACGGCUUACCAAGGCGAUGAUCCGUAGCCGGCCUGAGAGGGCGGUCGGCCACACUGACACUGACAUACGGGUCAGACUCCUACGGGAGGCAGCAGUCGGGAAUUUUGGGCAAUGGGCGAAAGCCUGACCCAGCAACGCCGCGUGAAGGAUGAAAUCCUUCGGGAUGUAAACUUCGCAAGAACGGGAAGAAUAAGCCGGUGUCAACACCACCGGCGAUGACGGUACUGUUUGUAAGCUCCGGCUAACUCCGUGCCAGCAGCCGCGGUAAUAC